UGAUGCACACGUGAUGGCUUCCUCUUUUAGACCUUUUCCCAAAUUGUUCUUUCCUUAUUAUUCCCCUGCAGGUGGUCACUUCUCAUUUCCUUAUGAUAUGUUCCUUCUCGCUUCUCAUUCCUGACACUGUGAUCAACUUUUGCUGUUAGCAAGUAUGAUUAUCUGAAAUCAGGUAAGGGUGUGUUUGGGGGAGUUAUGGAAUUAGGUGAAUUUAAUUUACAUGAAAUUGUUUUAUAAAGCUGCUGAUUCCAGAAGGAUGCAAAUCCUGCCCAGACGCAGGCUCUAAACUCAGCUUGCUCAGAUUUGAGUCCCACUCCACAAUGUACUAACCAUGUGGUCAUUGGUCCUCAGUUUUAUCAACUGUGAAAUUAGUAAUAAUAAUAGUAGUAGUAGUAGUAGUAGUAGUAUGCACCUUGUAGGGUCUGAAAAAGAUUGAAAUAAAUAACUUGUUAGCCAAAGCUGGGUACAUGGGCAUGCUCAGUAAAUGUUAGCGCACGUGCAUGUGUGUGUUUCAGGAUUGGGGUUGCUAAAAUAAGUUAACAAAAUAAAUGAAGGCUCACACCUCCCACAGAGUUCUGAGAAAUAAGUGUGUCCUCAGGUUCCUGGUCCAUGUGCAAGGAGUACAUAGCUCCACCAACAUUCUGUCAAGAGGAGGGGAAAGUGGAGCAGUGGAGUCCCUCCACUCAGUGAGUAGGGGAGGGAAGACUUUUCUUCUACCUUUUGAGGGUUCAUUAAUUGAGUCUGAAAUAGACAGCAGGCAGAUUAAUAGGAGAAAAGGCAUAUAAAUUUAUUAUAUGCCCAGAGCCAUCUUAUGAAGGAAAAUUGAAUAACCAAAAACCCAGGAUAGGGGGGAGGAGGGAAGUAAGCAAUUAGGGAAGGGUAAAUGAUUUUUCAGAAAGAUGAAUGGACCAUCAGAAGAAUAGGUGACAGCCUGUGAUAAACUGUGACUGAACUGGGGUUGUGGUUCAGUAGUAGAGCACUUGUCUAGCAUGGAUGAGGUGCUGGGUUCCAUUCCCAGCACUGCAAAGAAAAAAAGAAAUGAAAAUCUUCCUGGGUAUGGAAUUGGCCUCCAGCAUCCUCUCCUGUGAUACAAACUUAAUCCUUCCUGGUUGAUGAAGUUCCAGGGAGGGCUCAUGACAAUUGAGCUCCUUCUGGAGGACCUGUUUUUAGGCGGAUAAGGGAAGUCAAUGAAAGUCCCUGCCUGCAUUUACUAUUCCCCAAGUGUCCUCAAGUUUGGAGCAGCAUGCUGAGUUUGGAGCAGUCCACCUCACAAGAGAAUCAGAGGUGGGUAGUUCUGCUGCUUAUGCAGCUACCUCCAGGGCCAGGAAAGGUGCUUGGCCCUCUGCCCACAAAAGCAGGGACUAUAAGGAUUUACUCAUAUCCUACAGAAGUGCAUGGGAUGGUGGGAAAACCUGGCUCCCUUCCCAUCGUCCAGCUCCCAAGCAAGGAGAGACCCAGUUGACAGGGCACCUCUGGGAACCAGUGUUUUACUUAUUCAGAACUCAGUCCUACUCUACCUAGAAGGGGAGGGUUCAGGGCUCUAAGAGAGGGCUGGGGUAGAGAGUUGCACCCCUAAUUCCAAGGAGAGAUGAAGAUAUAAUUUAUGUGGGCAGGAAGCAACAACUGAAGAGCUAGGGAGAAGCUGCUGUGGGGAGCAUUUCAGUGGAGUUGAAUAAGAAUUUUGGGGUACAAAAAAGAUAGUCUGAGACUCAAAAAUGACAGGGCAGGUGAGCUGUUAGAAUGCAGGAAAAGCCCUGAGCCUUUGAAUUGCAAAAAUUUUCCUGUGCAAACUGGCCCGUGGCUCUUGCCCUUGGCCCAAGCCCUUGGUCCACACCCUUGACUCAUGUCCUUGCAUGCAAAAUAAUACAAGGACACUGCACAAGUGCUAGAAAAACCGUUGUGAAGUUAUGUAAUUCUGCCUUGACUCCACCUCUGUUUCAGCCUUAGUUACUGUCCCUCUAUAAAUAAUACCACAGACCAAGGUCCUAUCUCUUCCUCUGGAGGUGGCUCAUAUUAUUCCUUGAAUGUGUCUUCCUCAUGUAACCCCCAAAACUUCUCACCCUCAAGAUAGUCCCAGUUAUCCCUUGAAUGUUUAUUUCUUUACCCCCAAAGAUAUUAGAUAGUCUGCAUUCUCCCUUGAAAGUACAUCUGCUUUCCUAAAUAAAUCUGUCUGGAGCAUGCUGAAGUUCUCUUUGUGUCACAUAUCCCUACAUAUCCUAAGUUAAGGUCUCUCUCUCAGUGAACCCCUGAGAUGAUAGAGUGACUGGGCUGCAUAGAAAGUGUCCAUGGGCUCAAAGCUGAAUGUCAGACCCUGUAGAAAUACUGCAGUGUGACAGGCUAUGGCUUUAGAAGAGAACCCUAGAAAACCAGGCUCUGUGGGGAAGUAUGACUGUUGAAUGUUCAAUUUGUUCAACAUUUUCUGAGAGGGUGCAGACUCUGAGGCCCAUGGACAGCCAAGAAAGCCCCUUAAAUGAGAAUAGCUGGGAUAUCAUUGCCUCAGAGCCCACUGUUAAUGGGAAGAGAAAGAUCCCAGAAGCUUUAAGUUUUUUUUUUUUUUUUUAGCAGAAAAAUAAAGAGGAGCAUUGAGAGAAGAGAACCAUCUGUGGAUGUAUGAAACUGACCUGGGCCUAAGAAGAUAUGUGUGGCCCAAAUAUCUGUCUCUGAGGAAAAUGGACAGCAAUCUUCAGAUAAGUAAACUUCCAAUUUGAGCUCAGUCAGAGGGACCACUGGAGACACACAGGCUGGCCAUGUCUGUUGGGGCUGUGGCUCUGCCCUGCAGAAAGUGUCAUGACAAAAGGCAGGCCCAGGACCUGAGCCAACCUGUUGCUAAAUCAAGAUUCCUGAGAUCUCAGCUGGUUACCUUCUGUGAUACUAUAAGGUGUUUUUUUUUUUUUGUUUUGUUUUGGUUUGGGGCACUAGGGAUUGAACCCAGGAAUGUUUUACCAUUGAACUACAUUCCCAGUCCUUUUAAUUUUUUUAAUGUUUUUUUUUAAGGGCCUUGUGCAUGCAAAGCAAGCAUUCUACCAACUGAGCUAUAUCCCCAGCCCUUUUUUUUUUUUUUUUUUUUUGAGAAAGGGCCUUGCCAACUUGCUGAGGCUGACCUUGAACCUUUGAUCUUCCUGCCUCAGCCUCCCAAGUUGCUGGAAUUAAAGGUACAUGCUACUGUGUUGGCAACACUAUGAAAUACAUAUUUGGUCUUCCUCCAGUUUCCUGGCAUACAACUCCUAAAACCUUUGAAAUCUAAAAAGUAAUAAAUGUCUUUUUGCAUGCUAAUGAGCUGACUAAUGGCUAGCAGCCAAGAAGCUUCAGGAUGAGGGAUGGUCACAAGAUGAUAGAUCAAAGCCUGAUUAGAGGUUUGACACUUUCAGCCCCAUCCUCCAAACUUAGAGGAGGGAGAAGGGCUAAAAGUUGAGUUGAUCACCAAUGGCUAAUUAUUUAAUCAGUCAUGCUUAUGUAGUGAGAUCUCCACAAAAACCCAAAAGCAUAGAAUUGGGUGAGCUUCCAGAAUGCUGAACACAUGGAGGGUCCUAGAUGGUGGAGCAUCCAGACAGGGCAUGGCAGCUCUGCAUCCCAUCCUUCAUAUCUUACCCAGUGCAUCUCUUCAUCUGUAUCCUUUAUAAUAAACUAGUACAUGUAAUUAAAGUGUUCCCCCAAGCUCUGUGAGCCACUCUAGCAAAUUAGUCAAACAGGAGGAAGGGGUUAUGGGAACCCUAAUUCAUAACUGAUUAGUGGAAGCACAAUUAAACCAAACUCAGACUUGUGAUUGGCAUUGGAAGUGGGGGGAAGUCUUGUGCAGCUGAACCAUUAACAUAUAGGAUUCAACAAUAUUUCCAGGUAGAUGUGUAAGAAUUGAAUUGAACUACAGAACACACAGCUGCUAUCUGCUGCAGAAAGAUUGAUUGGUUCCUGGUGAGGAGAAAUCCCCAUUUGCAUCUUGGUAACCAGAGGUCACAGAAUUGUUCUGUUUAUUGUGUUGUGAGAGUAAAGUUGUGGGGGGGGAUCUAUGUUUCUUCUCAGACCUUGUGCCUAGUUGUAGCCGUGGCUGGCUUUUUGGCCCCUGUGUCCUAGCCUUUGGGGAUGGAGGCAACAAGCCAAGCCCACACUUGGCCAGGGUGUUAAGGAGUGCAGUGUCCCUGAGGCCAGGGAAAAGGUGACAAAAAAAAUAACUUGUGGCAGAUCUCCAAGAGGGAAGGUGACUUUUUUUUUCCUUUUCCCAGCUAGAGGGAUUGAACCCAGGGAUGCUCUACCACUAAGUUAUGUUCACAGGCCUUUUUAUUUAUUUAUUUAUUGAGACAAGGUCUCACUAAAGUGCCCAGGUUGGCCUCAAACUUGUGUCCUCCUGCUUCAGCCUCCUACAGGUGCAGGAAAGUGACUCUUCUUGGAGUCUUGCUGCUCCUUCCCACAGCAAAGGCCUCCCUUUCACAACCGCCCACUUCAGAGAAGGAUGACCAGCCUAGCCGGGGUUCCUCAAAGACAGCACAAAUGGGAGCAAAAGUGGAGGCAACUGCCUCACAUGCUCCUGAGUCUACUGCUGGGAUUAUUUAAGCAGACUCCAACCCCACUAGAGCCCACCUCGGUGCUGUGGGCAGGGGGAGUAGCAGCUCUAGAAAGUGGUAUACCUACAUACAUUUAAGGAUUAACCAACCAGGAGCUAAAACAGUGCUCACAAGUGUUAUAUAUUAACUCAUUUCAACCUUAGAAAUGUACAAGAAUGGGGGCUGGGGAUGUGGCUCAGCUCGCCUGGCAUGUGUGCGGCCCAGGUUCGAUCCUCAGCACCACAUACAAACAAAGAUGUUGUGUCCGCUGAAAAACUAAAAAAUAAAUAUUAAAAACUCUCUCUCUUUUAAAAAAAACAACUAUGAUUAUUAAAGAAAAAAAGAAAUGUACAAGAAGUAUUAUCUUCAGAAAGGUCAAAGAUAGUUAAUUUCCCCGGAUGGGAGAACAUGUUUUGCCGCCAAUGCCUGAUUUAUAAUAAGUGCUCAAUCCGUGCUGAAGGAAGAAAGUAAAGGAUGGACUUGUCCCAGUAGAUCACCUGGCAAUAAGGGGUGGUGCUGGAAGGGACCUUCAGCCCUCUAACUCAACAGUUUCUGUCCAGGCCCCAUUCCCUUCCAUUCUGGCUGCCCAUUGGAUGAAAGUGGCAGAACUGUUGGG
rnacentral:lncRNA from 1 species